GGGCGAUUAGCUCAAUGGUAGAGCAUCUCGUUUACACCGAGAGGGUUGGGGGUUCGAGCCCCUCAUCGCCCACCA
rnacentral:tRNA from 1 species